rnacentral:rRNA from 1 species
UACAUGCAAGUCGAGCGGACAGAUGGGAGCUUGCUCCCUGAUGUUAGCGGCGGACGGGUGAGUAACACGUGGGUAACCUGCCUGUAAGACUGGGAUAACUCCGGGAAACCGGGGCUAAUACCGGAUGCUUGAUUGAACCGCAUGGUUCAAUUAUAAAAGGUGGCUUUUAGCUACCACUUACAGAUGGACCCGCGGCGCAUUAGCUAGUUGGUGAGGUAACGGCUCACCAAGGCAACGAUGCGUACCCGACCUGAGAGGGUGAUCGGCCACACUGGGACUGAGACACGGCCCAGACUCCUACGGAA